CGUACACUCCUGCGGAGGCAGCAGUGGGGAAUUUUGGACAAUGGGCGAAAGCCUGAUCCAGCAAUGCCGCGUGAGUGAAGAAGGCCUUCGGGUUGUAAAGCUCUUUUGUCAGGGAAGAAACGGUGAAAGCUAAUAUCUUUUGCUAAUGACGGUACCUGAAGAAUAAGCACCGGCUAACUACGUGCCAGCAGCCGCGGUAAUACGUAGGGUGCAAGCGUUAAUCGGAAUUACUGGGCGUAAAGCGUGCGCAGGCGGUUUUGUAAGUCUGAUGUGAAAUCCCCGGGCUCAACCUGGGAAUUGCAUUGGAGACUGCAAGGCUAGAAUCUGGCAGAGGGGGGUAGAAUUCCACGUGUAGCAGUGAAAUGCGUAGAUAUGUGGAGGAACACCGAUGGCGAAGGCAGCCCCCUGGGUCAAGAUUGACGCUCAUGCACGAAAGCGUGGGGAGCAAACAGGAUUAGAUACCCGGGUAGUCCCAUGAU
rnacentral:rRNA from 1 species